rnacentral:lncRNA from 1 species
GACACACAUAUAUGAUAUAAACCUACGGAAGUAUGCUACAUGAGAAGCAUGCUUCCUUACGGAACUAAGACCUGAAGGCCAGAAAAUUAUGAAUCACAGGAACAGGAAGCAGAUCUGUCCCAGUGUGUUGAGGAUUGUGAUGUUAAGUGUUGCUACCCCCACUUUGUCCUGACCCAAUGCCCAUGAAUCGCAGCUACCCCAAAGGCAGAACUGAAUUUGAAAUCAUAAUUCAGAAUGUGAUUUUUGGAGAUCUUUGUUUGAGCGCUGUGAGUCACUCCCAAGAUCUUUAUUAUGCAAAGCGGCUUCAGGAAGAUGGGGAACAUGGGAAGACCAGGAAAUUCUGAAAGCACAGUUCUCCAGCCACAAUUCUUUUGCUUCGACAUAUGUUUCUGUAUCAGAAGCAACACCGUGGAAUAUGAAUGAUGGUAUUGUUAUGAUUUAAACAUCACCACAGGCUUAUGAUCAGAAUGCUUGUCUGGCCAACAGAUCAGUAAUAAAUGCAUAUAUACCUAUCUUUCCUACAAGUAAAAUGCACAUAAAAUACUUUUUGUAAAGUUCUGGUCUCUUGAUGGAUUCCAAUUCAAUACUAUGUGCUUCAGGAUUGUAGCAGGAGAACCUAAAGUGUUAUAGAUG